GCGACGGGUGAGUAACACGUGGGUGAUCUACCUUGCACUUCGGGAUAAGCCUGGGAAACUGGGUCUAAUACCGGAUAUGACCCCUGAUUGCAUGUUUUCGGGUGGAAAGAUUUAUCGGUGCGAGAUGGGCCCGCGGCCUAUCAGCUUGUUGGUGAGGUAACGGCUCACCAAGGCGACGACGGGUAGCCGACCUGAGAGGGUGACCGGCCACACUGGGACUGAGACACGGCCCAGACUCCUACGGGAGGCAGCAGUGGGGAAUAUUGCACAAUGGGCGCAAGCCUGAUGCAGCGACGCCGCGUGCGGGAUGACGGCCUUCGGGUUGUAAACCGCUUUUGACAGGGACGAAGCGCAAGUGACUGUACCUGUAGAAUAAGGACCGGCCAACUACGUGCCAGCAGCCGCGGUAAUACGUAGGGUCCGAGCGUUGUCCGGAAUUACUGGGCGUAAAGAGCUUGUAGGCGGUUCGUCGCGUCGUUUGUGAAAACUUGGGGCUCAACCUUAAGCUUGCAGGCGAUACGGGCGGACUAGAGUACUUCAGGGGAGACUGGAAUUCCUGGUGUAGCGGUGAAAUGCGCAGAUAUCAGGAGGAACACCGGUGGCGAAGGCGGGUCUCUGGGAAGUAACUGACGCUGAGAAGCGAAAGCAUGGGUAGCAAACAGGAUUAGAUACCCUGGUAGUCCAUGCCGUAAACGGUGGGUACUAUGUGUGGGGCUCCUUCCACGGACUCCGUGCCGUAGCUAACGCAUUAAGUACCCCGCCUGGGGAGUACGGCCGCAAGGCUAAAACUCAAAGAAAUUGACGGG
rnacentral:rRNA from 1 species